rnacentral:rRNA from 1 species
UACGUAUGGUGCAAGCGUUAUCCGGAUUUACUGGGCGUAAAGGGAGCGCAGGCGGCGCGCCAAGUCUGAUGUGAAACCCCGGGGCUCAACCCCGGGCAUGCAUUGGAAACUGGCGGGCUGGAGUGCCGGAGAGGUAAGCGGAAUUCCUAGUGUAGCGGUGAAAUGCGUAGAUAUUAGGAGGAACACCGGUGGCGAAAGCGGCUCUCUGGCCUGUAACUGACACUGAGGCUCGAAAGCGUGGGGAGCAAACAGG